UACACACCGCCCGUCACACCAUGGGAGUUGCUUCUGCCUUAAGCCGGUGAGCCAAUCUGGCAGCCGACCACGGCAGGGGUAAUGACUGGGGUG
rnacentral:rRNA from 1 species